GACGCAGGGCGCGAGCGUUGUCCGGAUUUAUUGGGCGUAAAGAGCUCGUAGGCGGCUCGUUGCGUCGGCUGUGAAAACCCGCAGCUCAACUGUGGGCUUGCAGCCGAUACGGGCGGGCUGGGAUUCGGUAGGGGAGACUGGAAUUCCUGGUGUAGCGGUGAAAUGCGCAGAUAUCAGGAGGAACACCGGUGGCGAAGGCGGGACUCUGGGCCGAUACUGACGCUGAGGAGCGAAAGCGUGGGGAGCAAACAGG
rnacentral:rRNA from 1 species